UGGGGAAUUUUGGACAAUGGGCGAAAGCCUGAUCCAGCAAUGCCGCGUGUGUGAAGAAGGCCUUCGGGUUGUAAAGCACUUUUGUCCGGAAAGAAAUCCUUGGCUCUAAUACAGUCGGGGGAUGACGGUACCGGAAGAAUAAGCACCGGCUAACUACGUGCCAGCAGCCGCGGUAAUACGUAGGGUGCAAGCGUUAAUCGGAAUUACUGGGCGUAAAGCGUGCGCAGGCGGUUUGCUAAGACCGAUGUGAAAUCCCCGGGCUCAACCUGGGAACUGCAUUGGUGACUGGCAGGCUAGAGUAUGGCAGAGGGGGGUAGAAUUCCACGUGUAGCAGUGAAAUGCGUAGAGAUGUGGAGGAAUACCGAUGGCGAAGGCAGCCCCCUGGGCCAAAUACUGACGCUCAUGCACGAAAGCGUGGGGAGCAAACAGGAUUAGAUACCCUGGUAGUCCACGCCCUAAACGAUGUCAACUAGUUGUGGGGAUUCAUUUCCUUAGUAACGUAGCUAACGCGUGAAGUUGACCGCCUGUGGAGUACGGUCGCAAGAUUAAAACUUAAAGGAAUUGACGGGGUCAUAGCUGUUUCCU
rnacentral:rRNA from 1 species